rnacentral:rRNA from 1 species
AUAUAUAUAUAUGUUACGGUCUUGAAAGCAGCUGUCCUAGUCCGAUCACCGAAGUUAAGCAACGUCGAGCCUAGUGAGUACUUAGAUGGGUUACUGCAUAGGAAACCUAAGUGCUGUAAGCA